rnacentral:rRNA from 1 species
GACGACGACUCCUACGGGAGGCAGCAGUGGGGAAUAUUGCACAAUGGGGGAAACCCUGAUGCAGCCAUGCCGCGUGUGUGAAGAAGGCCUUCGGGUUGUAAAGCACUUUCAGUAGGGAGGAAGGUAGUGUAGUUAACACCUGCAUUAUUUGACGUUACCUACAGAAGAAGCACCGGCUAACUCCGUGCCAGCAGCCGCGGUAAUACGGAGGGUGCGAGCGUUAAUCGGAAUUACUGGGCGUAAAGCGCAUGCAGGCGGCCUGUUAAGUCAGAUGUGAAAGCCCCGGGGCUUAACCUCGGAAUUGCAUUUGAAACUGGCAGGCUAGAGUCUUGUAGGAGGGGGUAGAAUUUCAGGUGUAGCGGUGAAAUGCGUAGAGAUCUGAAGGAAUACCAGUGGCGAAGGCGGCCCCCCUGGACAAAGACUGACGCUCAGAUGCGAAAGCGUGGGGAGCAAACAGGAUUAGAUACCCUGGUAG